ensembl:lncRNA
AGGGUGAUGGCUUAUCUUCAGGAUGGUCGUGUAUAUAGAUCGGCUUUACCCAUCAGUCCUCGCCUGUUUUUUCACAGGUGGGUUGGAAUUGUAUACUGAAGGCACUGAGAAUGAACGGUUUUGCGUGUUUUUGUGUCUAGAUAAGAAAAGACUGUUUUAAAUGAAGGAAGUGGAGGGGUGAUGAACCCUGUUCAGGUUCUCCACAGAAGCCAACGGACAGCGAAGUUGUUAGAAGAAGCGGCUCCCUCGAAACACCGCUUUGCUGGGAGUGAUGGAUGAUUUCGUGGACGUUGACACUCUUGAUAUUUUUGCAUGCUGGUGUACAUACCCCUCAGUCCUUUAUUUGAAGAGGCUGGUUAAUCCAAAAGCGCUAUUUUUCUUUUGGAUGUUGUCCGCAGGACAGAUUCGGAUAUUCUGAAUAUAAAAUAUAGCCCCCCAAGGAAAAAAAAAAAAAUCCCCUUUCCUAAGAAGGAGCACCUAAGGUGUUUGUUUGUCACUGCAACAGCUUUCGUAGUAGUUUUGGCUAAAGCUCUUUUGCAAUCAUUCUGUUUUCCUUGUGUAAAGUAAUUUUUUUCAAGUGUAUGAGUGUGAAUGUGUGUGCCUAUGUAAGAAACGAUGUGCAAAGCUUGCUUCUUUCGAUUUCUUUUUUUCCCCCCUCAGUUCAACCAUGUUUUCGCCUCAGAGUUGUUUUUAAGGAACAUUAAUCUUUUUGUGCUCAUACGGAAACUCAAUGAAACAGUGUGCAAGUUUGAAGAACUGCAUCUCUGUCUGUAAAAGAUGCCUCUCUCUGGGCGCCUUACAGACCUAAAUUGCAUUACCCAGACACCCUCAGGGACCCUUGACAACACUGCUCUCACUCUUAUUCAGGUACUUAAUCUAUACCGAGGCCUAGCAGUGAUCAACUUUAACUAUAGUUUAUUUUCAUUAGCCCGUUCCUAUGAAAACGAAUUACAGCCAAAAUUUGAUCCGAAACAGUCUGUCUUGCCCUCUACUCAUGGAAUUACGUCUCGUUUUCUAUCCUUACAUGUCUCUUUUUGUAACCUCUGGAUAUGUUUAGUAUGUUCUGAAUGUUAGCUGUCUUCUCAGUUCAUAACCACUGAGUCUUUGUAAGCACUCUGUUCUCUCUCUGACUUGUGUCAAGUGCCAUGGCUUUUGCUCUGUGCAGUAAUCAGGAAUCGAUUAUUGUCUUGCUACGAAGCACCAACCUAACAGUGACUUACACCAAGCUAACCUCUUAAAAUAAACACGUCAGACAAGUGCACAUAACAGUGGUUUGGCUUUAAAAUUGUCUUUAAAGCCGUCCACGGUCCUUUAUAAAUGCUGGUUUAAAAACCAGAGAAGAUACAGUAAGCCAUCUUCAGGUAUCCCUCUGGUUUAAGUGCUAACCUUGUUUUUCCUCCACCACCUGUGGAGCCACACACAACAGAGAAAUGUGAUGGAUCUGCCUUCAGUUCUUCUAAAGCUUCAGGGAAAACCUAGUAACCCUCUCUACAAAGCUAAGCCGACUCUUGUGUCACCAAACCUGCGGCUCUGUUCAGGAACGAGGCGAGUCUAACUUGGGUAGAAAUAUCUGCUGGGCAGUUUUCAGUGAUGUUGUGCACAUUUGUUGUGUGAUUUUGUUUUUUAAUUUCUUUUUUUUUUAAAACAGCCACUCAUCUCUGCUGUGAUUGGUUGAUGCCUCUGCUGGAUGUUAAGUGUUUGUGUUGCUUCGCACAGCUUGGCGGAUUCCAAUGUCUGUUUUAUGCUAAGAAUUAGUCAUGCAAAGCAGUUAUUUAUUGGCCUGGUCUUGAUGACAGGAGUGUAGUAUACAUAUUGCCUAAAUUUUGUACCUCUUACAACAAUCACAUCACUGAUGUUUGGUGAGAACUAUGUAAAGCUGUAUUUCAUGUUAGAGCUCUUGCGAUUACUUUCUACAUUCCUAAUGUUGGUUUUGGUAGUAACCUGAUUUUGUUGUGAUAGAAAUAAAUCUGAUUGGUUUGGAAAAAGGCUUGUAAUAUUUGGUAGAUGCAAGAAGUGUUGUCCAGGGGUUUAGACUUUAGUUUGGAUAGAACAACAAACCUCUUUUUUUCUUGUUCUCGGUUUUUGUCCUGCUGAGGUUUCUAAGAUUUCGUAAUCUCACCUCGGUUCUUAACGGGUGGCUGGACGCCCCGAGACGGGGUCUGCUGGGCUUCUUUUUUUGUUUUCCUCUUUUCCACUGAGAUUUUGUUUUUGGGUUUGACGAUAUACCUCAUUCCUUCAGUCCAGCGGGCCCUCGGGGGGGCGCUGUGCCGAUGCUCAGGAUGCUCAAGCCCCCUUUCACGGUUUGGUCCCACCUGGACUGUACCUCUCAUAAACACGUAUAAACACACAUACACACAUGCAUGCACACUUACAUACAGGUUCUCCAAAUACCCCGAUGGACCUCAUUUUUCAAUAUCUACUGUUUACAGUUUGACUAAAAAACUAAUUUAAAAUAUUUUCUCAUAUUGUAGUUUUAUUUAUGUACAAUGUACAAUUUGUUUUUUGUUUGUUUUCAUUCUAUUUUGUACCUUGUGAGUUGGACUUCUAUUCUUCUAGACUUCUGUUAUUAAUGUCCAUGUAAAUGAGCACUUAACAAGGAUCACAAUAAUCGGUUUUAGUUUGACUGACAAUUUUAUUUUCCCCCUUUCUCCCUGUUUUGAAUGCAAAAUCUGAUUUUUUGUUUGGGCUAAUGAAUAAAAAAUGAUCUCAUAAUGUCUGUGAUUUUUUUUUAUAUAAAAAGAUUAAAGAUGAUGAUUUGAGUUCCUUUGUUUAAUUUUUUUUUAAAGUUUAUUUUGCAUUAAAUAUCAGGCAACGCUGAUUAUAUCUGUCUUUGUGCAUGUGUAAAAUAUUUUACUGGUUAUGUUAUAUUCAAUUUGGUAAAAAAGGAAAAAAAAAAAGAAAAAAGAAAAUUGCCAUUUUUGCCACACAUUUCAGCUGUAAUGUUGUGUAAGGUAGUAUUCACUGGAUGCUAGAAACUUCUUUUCAAAACCACUAUUCUUCUAAUAAAUUUUGUUGUGAAAAUA